CUCCCACAUGCAGGGUUUGC
rnacentral:ncRNA from 2 species